UUGGAGUUUGUGGCGGUGGUUUUGGUGUUUGUGGUGUUGGUUUUGGAGUUUGUGGUGAUGGGUUUGGUGUUUGUGGUGGUGUAUUCCAUGUGAUCUUCUCGGUUGUAUUCGAUUUCGAUAAUGUUUUCGUUGUUUUAUUAAAAUAGGCUUUUGAUGCGAAAUGUUUGUCGCAUUGGGUUCUUCAUCCUUCGUUCCGUUACAAGAUGAUUUUCUUUCUGCCAUUAGCAAUACAUUAUAACUAGAUUUAUUGAUGUACACAAUUAAAUAUUGCGCUGUGAUUAAUUUGUUUUACGUUUCUUAUCAGUUUUAGAUAGCUGCAAAGAUAUGUCAUGAAAUUUGCAGACGACAUAUAUGGGGUGCAGGCGAGAUCUGGGUUGAACGCGCGAAAGCUGCAAAGACAUGCCAUGAAAUAUGCAGACGGCAGACAUGCGGUGCAGACGAGAUCUGGGUUGAACGCGCGAAAUUGUUUUAUUUUAUUUCUGCGUUUUACUCUUUUUGUUUUGUAAUUCUUUUUACUACUAGAAUGCUGGGGUAUGUAUACUUGAAGAAACACGCAGACGGACAUGGAGAUGUAGACCAAGCAAAAUGUGCGUUUCUCUUUAUGAUGAACAGACAAUGCAGUGGUUUAGUUGAUGGUGCAGCUAUGGUACAUGAUAUUGACUACAAGCACGUGCGUGGAUGUCAUGUUGUAGAUACCACAGUGGUAAAGUGGAUGCUGCAACUUGAUCCUUUUUUCUGAGUAAUUCUGGAGCGUAGGAAUGUGCAUUCAACUUCUGGCUAUGGUGAAAGUAAAACUCGAAGUAUCGGACAAGAAACUCAAAACUAUUCGAUGAGAAACUCAGGCUAUCAGACGAGGAACCCGAACUAU
rnacentral:lncRNA from 1 species